rnacentral:rRNA from 1 species
UACGAAGGGAGCUAGCGUUGUUCGGAAUUACUGGGCGUAAAGCGCGCGCAGGCGGCUAUUCAAGUCAGAGGUGAAAUCCCAGGGCUUAACCUUGGAACUGCCUUUGAAACUGUUUAGCUAGAGUCCGUGAGAGGGUGGUGGAAUUCCUAGUGUAGAGGUGAAAUUCGUAGAUAUUAGGAGGAACACCAGUGGCGAAGGCGGCCACCUGGCACGGUACUGACGCUGAGGCGCGAAAGCGUGGGGAGCAAACAGG